GCCAAAUUCAAAGUUAAAAUUUCUAUCCGUAGGAGUAUAGGACUAAAAGGCGUUAAUUUUCAUUAUCUCCGUUAUGAGGGCAUUUCUCUUGUUUUAUUGAUCAAUUUCUGUUUUUAUUUUGCAGCCAACCAUCAAGAAAAGGAAACCAAUCAUUCACCAGUGAACAAUUUUCUCAUUUGCCAGCCUUUACUAGAUUUGAGGGGGGCUUGCUUGAAAAUCCUAAAGGAGAAAAAAGGAUAGAUAUGAACAAGAAAAUCCAACAUGCUUGGAUGUUUCACUUGACUUGCUUGGAAAACCCAUAACUUGCUGGUUCCCUCUCAAGUCUCAACUUUGACACAUUUCACCAAAAUGUCUCAAUCUUUAAAAGAAAACAUCUCCAAUUCACCACACAUAUGCUGCUCUUUAGUCAGUUAUUCCUGGACUCAGAACUCGCCAUCACUGUCACUGCCAGCCUUCAACAAAAGCGAACAAUCACCAAUCACUAAACAUUUUCUCAUUUGGCUGCCUUCACUAGGGCAUGACAAUAUUUGUUGGUUUAAGUGAAGUUGUGAACUUACAAAACAAAAGGCAGUGAAGACCUUGCCUGCAAAUCUUAGUGCCUUAACCAUUUGCACGAUAAAAGGUUCAUUGCACUCAUUACGUGGGAAGUGAACUGACAAGCAACUUGGCAAAUCCAAAUUUCUGGCUGCAAAGACUUGAGAAGCACAAACAGAUCUCAUUGGUAUGUCGUAGCAGUAAAAUAAAGUUCCAGUUAAAGGACAGGCAUGUGCAUUUUGCACUUUUGGAUGCAAAAUUUUGUCAGCUAUCACAUUCAAUGUAUUCAUAACCAUUUUGCUUAUUUACUUUUGCUUAUUUACUACAGCUGGCAUUUUUGUCGUGUCUUUUAUCCCCACUAGACACAUAAAAACAAGACAUCAACCAGGUUUGUUGUGCAAAACCAAUGUUUGUGACUACCCAAUUUUAAUUGUCAUUUGCAAUAAGUAUUCAUGAGCUCUGGAGUGGAUAUGCAUUAACAGAUGUAUGUUUAAGGAUUAACAGAUAAAAUUUUCACAAGAAGUCCAUGGGAUUAGAUGGGAUGAACACCUUUUUUUCUUUGAGAAUUAUAUACAGUACAAGCUAAGGGAGAUUCAGAGUAGCUUUUCAUGGUUUCAUAUGUAGCAGUUCCUGGUGAGGAAGACUUAAUUUGAGGGGUCUUUACUAUGGAUUGGCUGGAAUUCUUGUUGGUGUCUCAGUUAAUUCCCAUUAAUGGAACUGGUGGGUAAUGUUGUUUUUUCAUGAUGUCUCAACAAUAUGCAUGCCCUGCAUCUGGUUUCUACAUGCUUGAUGCAUGUGGUUUGCUAAGUAAGCUGCAAUUUGUCUAUGUUAAAACUCCUUCCAGAUUUUUCUUUGAGGACUGAAAAUGACUUGUGCAUUUCUUUGAGGACUGAAAAUUCCUUUCAGCUUUUCUGUUGGAUUGCUCUGAUGCAUUUCCCUAGUUAAUUAGUUAAACAAAGCAUACCUUGUGGUCUAUUAACUAAAUGGUAGUUUGAAGCAUAAUUUUCUUACUGUAUCUAUUUUAUGUGAGAAAAUGAAUGGGGCAUCUUCUGUGGCUUUUCGUGUGCUAAGUAUCAUGAUCAUAAUCUACUUCUUGUUCAAGAAGAAGAAAGAAGCCAAUUUUCAACAGGAGGUAAAUGGGAUGUUUUAAUGCCAGGUCUUCAAGAUGGACUUGAAACAAAGACGUCUACUUUAUCUUGAAUCAAUGAAAUUGGUGUCUUCACUGACUGGAUCCCUUAAGAAUCUUUUCCUCCUGGGAAAAUGAUGGUUAUAGCUUAGUUCUCGCCAAAGCCUGUGGGCAUGUUGGAAGUUUAUUUCUUGGUAUUUUGAUCAAGAGCUUCCACGUAAUUACAUUUCAAAUUUCAGUUGCUUCAUUGGUGCAUUUUGACAGUAUUUUUAGAUUUUAUUCAAAUUCUUUGUAUUCUCGAAACAACAGGAUGCAAUUUUUACAUGUUGGGAAACUAAUAAAGAGUAUAGGGCUGUACUUUCUUGUGAA